UACGAAGGGGGGCUAGCGUUGCUCGGAAUCACUGGGCGUAAAGCGCACGUAGGCGGAUUGCUAAGUCAGGGGUGAAAUCCCGGGGCUCAACCCCGGAACUGCCUUUGAUACUGGGUAUCUCGAGUCCGGAAGAGGUGAGUGGAAUUCCGAGUGUAGAGGUGAAAUUCGUAGAUAUUCGCAAGAACACCGGUGGCGAAGGCGGGUCUCUGGGCAAUUCCUGACGCUGAGGCGCGAAAGCGUGGGGAGCAAACGGG
rnacentral:rRNA from 1 species